GCCUGGUGGUUCCUAGAGUCAGCUACAAAGUGCUGAACUGUGGGUUUUUUUAAACAGGCGCAUAUUGAUUUCUGCGAUUUUAUGCAUGGAAGCUGCCACUAUAGCAGCCUUCCAUAGCCCGGUUGCAGAGACACUG
rnacentral:snoRNA from 1 species